GGGGGACAACAUUCGGAAACGGAUGCUAAUACCCCAUAGGUGGAUUGGUCGCAUGACGAAUUCAUUAAAGGUGGCUUUGCUACCACUCAUGGAUAGCCUCGCGGCGUAUUAGCUAGUUGGUAAGGUAAUGGCCUACCAAGGCAGUGAUACGUAGCCGACUUGAGAGGGUGAUCGGCCACACUGGGACUGAGACACGGCCCAG
rnacentral:rRNA from 1 species